rnacentral:ncRNA from 2 species
UGUUAUUGUGAUUAAAUCGGUUCUAGUGGGGUCAGCCAUUAGAGGAAACGGGGAAAGUUUGGUGAAAAUCCGGCACUGUCCCGCAGCUGUAAUCAAGUAAAAUUUACUUUUUAACCUUGAAAGUCAGAAUGCCCGCCGAUUUGUGUUUGUAAUA